AGAGUUUGAUCAUGGCUCAGAACGAACGCUGGCGGCAUGCCUAAUACAUGCAAGUCGAACGGGUCUAUGGCUUCGGUCAUAGGCUAGUGGCGGACGGGUGAGUAACGCGUGGGAACCUGCCUGGCAGUGGGGAAUAACCGCGGGAAACUGCGGCUAAUACCGCAUACGCCCCGAAAGGGGGAAAGAUUUAUCGCUGUUGG
rnacentral:rRNA from 1 species